rnacentral:rRNA from 1 species
UCAGGCCUAACACAUGCAAGUCGAGCGCGAAAGCCCUUCGGGGUGAGUUCAGCGGCGGCGGGUGAGUAAGGCGUGGGAAUUUGCUCAGUAGAGGGGGACAACAACCGGAAACGGUGGAUAAUACCGCAUACGCCGUACGGGGGAAAGCAGGGGAUCUUAGGACCUUGCGCUAUUGGAUGAGCCCGGGUCAGAUUAGAUAGUUGGUGGGGUAAAAGCAUACCAAGGCGACGAUCUGUAGCUGGUNUGAGAGGAUGAUCAGCCACACNGGAACUGAGACACGNUCCAGACUCCUACGGGAGGCAGCAGUGGGGANUGCACAANGGGGGAAACCGGGAUGCAGCCAUGCCGCGCGUGUGAAGAAGGCUUCAGGGUUGUAAAGCACUGUAAGCAGUGAGGAAGGAAACAUAGGUUAAUACCNUAGAUGACGUAAC